rnacentral:lncRNA from 10 species
UGCUGGUCUUGAACUCCUGACCUCAAGUGAUUUGCCUGCUUUGGCCUCCCAAAGUGCUGGGAUUACAGACAUGAGUCACCAUGCCCUGCCUGCAGCUUCUUCUUGAAGUGUUCUGGACUUGGAAGAUUUGUUGAAUUACUAUGAAGUCACAUCUAAAGUUUGAAAGGUGAGAAUCUGAUUAUGAUUUCCAUUCAUGUCUGACUGCAAUUGACAGUAGUGUAUCUGUCACUAUGAAUAUAUAUAUGUGUUAGGCCAUGUGCUAAGUACUUUCUGUGCAUUUUUCUCACAACUCAAAGACAUAAGUAGUAGUGCUAUCUUCUUUUUAUUGUUUAAAUUUUAUUCAUUUAUUUCUUUUAUUUAUUUUUACUUGAUUUCCUGGGAUAUGAGAGAUAAAUAUUUAUUUUUAAUUGGCAAAAAUUGUAAUAUUUAUCAUGUAAAGCAUGCUUUUUUUUUUGAGACAGGGUCUCCCUGGAUUGCCCAGGCUAGAGUACAGUGGCGCAAUCAUGGCUCACUGCAGCCUUGACCUCCCUGGUUCAAGUGACCCUCCAGCCUCUACUGGCACGUAACACCAUGCCUGGAGAAUUUUUUUAAAAGUUUUGUACAGAUGGGGGUCUCACUGUUCUGCCUAGGCUGGUCUUGAAUUCCUGGGCUCAUGCUACC